rnacentral:rRNA from 1 species
UACGGAGGAUGCGAGCGUUAUCCGGAUUUAUUGGGUUUAAAGGGUGCGCAGGCGGAUUUUUAAGUCAGCGGUCAAAUCGUGGGGCUCAACCCCAUCCAGCCGUUGAGACUGGGGAUCUAGAGUGUGCGAGAGGUAUGCGGAAUGCGUGGUGUAGCGGUGAAAUGCAUAGAUAUCACGCAGAACCCCGAUUGCGAAGGCAGCAUACCGGUGCACAACUGACGCUCAGGCACGAAAGCGUGGGUAUCGAACAGG